UUAAUUGAAGCUAAUAUUCAAGCAUUUUAUUGUUAAUAAAAUAAUAGAUAAUAUAAUUUAUCCAAUUAAA
rnacentral:tRNA from 1 species